ensembl:lncRNA
GCUCUGAUUGGCCAAGCGGGCCAGCUGUUAGUGGUUCAUUCACCAUUUUGUGACUGUAGUGGAAAAGGGAUUCAUAUAGUUUUUAAUCCCUGUCUUAGUUGCUGUUGGGAGGGGGUCGAAGAUGUUUUACGGAGGACCGAUCUAAAGUAAAAUUCCCGACAGACAGAAGACGUGGAUUGACGCUGCUCACCACUUCAGACGAAAGCACAGAGCCCAUCUGCAAUUUGCAGCGUAAAUCCAUCGCUUACCUCCUAAGUAUUUCUGCUGUUUUGGGUGUUGUGAGGAAAAGAAAAAGAGACCUCAAAAGAUUUAAUUAAACAAGAGAAAAGAAGGAAGAAAAAAGGUGAGAAAGACA